CGCUCGGGACUCUCACCCACAGCUGCCCUUGAACCCCCAGCAGAAAUAGGGAACAUGGAGGGACCAUCCUGCCAGCCAGACAAGGGGCCCUGGGCUGAAAGAAGGCAAAUGCUGACUGAGGAGUUUGUUCCUCUUGGCAAGAGGCCUUCACGAAUCUCCUUCAAGAAGCCGGGGGCUCCUGUGACAGCAUAGAGCCGCAGAGGAGUCGCUGACAGUGAGGACGCAGAGAUGUGAAGGUGACAUUACCACCUGUGAGCCGACAGAUUUCCCUUAGCAGAAGCUGUGGAGUGUGACAAUGGUGUUUGUGUGCAAACCAUCAAACGCCAUUAUCACACUAAAUAGCUACUGCUAGGCAGCUCAUCGGCUCCGCAAGUGUCCUGGCAUCUGUUCUCUCUGAACAAGAAGUUUUGUCUUCUACUAGCCCUCUCUCUCCACGGUGUGUAAUUUCUGAAUAAAAUCUGAUAUUCUUGCGUUCAUAA